UCUGCUCACAUGGCUGGCCAGAGACAAACAAAGAGAGGGGCAAAGCGGAGCUGCAUUCUCAGCCGCGGAAUGCGUGGAAUGCAUGGAAUUUCUACUGAAGCGCGUAGCUACCUUAGAUGUUUUCUUUUUUUUCUUUAUCUUGGAGAGGGAAACAGAGGGACAGGGAGUCCGUUCCUCUCCGACUAAAAUUAUGGCCUUGCUCUUCACAGCGAAUGUUUGCAAGAGAAAGAAUCUUCCAUCGAUAACUGAGCUAGAGGAACAACCAACUCAGAUGCCCCAGAUUCCCAUUUUUUGCGAUCUCCCAGAAGUGGCUGGUCACCUUGUUGUUCCUUACCAUCUUCAGAUCCAGCUGAUUCAGAGAUUCCUGGACAGCAGUUAUUACAUGUUCAUCCUUUAAGUCCAAGAAGCAUGAAACAGAAAGUAGAAGAACAUGUCAGAAAAAAAAUUAUCUUGAGAAUAGUAAUAGACAUAAUAAAACCUUUCCAAUGACAGCUGCAGGUAGACUCAAAUAGAAUGCUUGAUUUUUCUGUUUUAUUCUGUCCCAAAGACAGAAUUUCAAGGGCGCCUUCCAUCUUUGAACCAAUCACUAUCUGAAAGUGAUGAGCAAAUGAAUCACUCAAUUUAAAUAGACAAAUGAGAUUUCAGAACACGAAAUAUGUAAAGUCAGAGAUGACCUCUACAGCAAGAUGCCACCGAAUUCCUAUAUUACAAAUGAGUAACUCUACAAGAGAACCAAAAAAGUGGCAAGCACAGAGUCAAGGAUAAUUUGUGAAGAAAAAACAGAAGGAAGAAGAGAAAACAUAAGUGAUAUUUAAAUAAGCAAACUACAUAUUGAAGGCAAAAAUGUAGAACUCAUAAGCUGUGUAGAAGGCUUGUAUUGUCAAUUUCCAAUUACUCUGUGUGCUAUUUUUUACUGUUAUAGUCACUAUCUUGCAUUACUGUGAGACAAACUGUCCACGUAGAAAAAAUAUGCUAAUGAUUUUAGUAUUUGUCCAAACAUGAUUUAUUUUUCCAGCUAUCAUCUGACAUCUUUCAGUGUAUUACAUUUUAUAUAUACUAUUUAUUGUAAGUUUCACUCUAUUCCCAUAGUCAUAGCCUUCAGGGCUGAAUACAGUAUGAAGUACUACACUACAUUGAAAUUUAAAAACAGCUUAGGUAACAGUACAAAAGCUAGCAUUCAAAUUAACACAGAUCUCAUUAAAAAUUUAAAUUGUACAAGGUUACACACACCUGCUCAGUUUCACAAUUGUAACAUAAAGCAGUUGAGAGAAACAUAAGUAUUUACAAUAUCAGGACUGAGAGUAUGCAAAAUAGAAAUUAAGAUGCUCUUUUUAGACAACAAGAAGAGAGCACUAACAGAUUCAAGAAUCUUAAGCUUUGUCUUCUCUGUAAUAUUCAGCACAUUGAAGCGCACUGAAAACAAUCAGUCAUUAAUAUAACAUAACCCUAUAAUUCAAAAUUUAUCUGCUCACUUCCACCAAGUAACCAACUCAUUAACUCCUCUCUUCAAGAGGCUGAUGAAAAUGCUGGAAGUAGGUGACUUCUUCGACUAAACAUAACUGCCCUGAUCAAAAUGGAAACUGCAGCCUAGGGUUUGUCAUGAGCUAUUUUGUUCAAAACACAAAUUUCAGUUUCAGAGUACAGAUGUGUUUCAACAGCUUCCAAGCUUUGGUUUCCUUCUACCUUUUUUUCUCUUUUUUUUUUCCUAAUUAGAAGCAACAAAUGUCCUUAACAAUUUUUUUCUACCUAACAUAUAUAUUUUCUCUAUAUUCUCUUUCCAAUCAGUAUCUAUUUCCUUUUCAUUCCUUUUACCCUCUUCACAAAAGU